rfam:Steinernema glaseri strain NC unplaced genomic scaffold GLAS_5303, whole genome shotgun sequence.
CCAACCAUAGCCAGUUGGUAGAGCGGAGGACUGUAGUGUUGUCGGAGAUCCUUAGGUCGCUGGUUCGAAUCCGGCUGGUUGGA